rnacentral:rRNA from 1 species
UACAGAGGGUGCAAGCGUUGUUCGGAAUUAUUGGGCGUAAAGGGAGUGUAGGCGGCUUGUUAAGUCUUCUGUGAAAUCUACGGGCUUAGCCUGUAAAGUGCAGAGGAAACUGGCGAGCUUGAGUGUCGGAGAGGAUAGGGGAAUACCCGGUGUAGAGGUGAAAUUCGUAGAGAUCGGGUGGAACACCAGUGGCGAAGGCGCCUGUCUGGCUGACAACUGACGCUGAGACUCGAAAGCAUGGGGAGCAAACAGG